AUUGAACGCUGGCGGCAUGCCUUACACAUGCAAGUCGAACGGUAACAGGUCUUCGGAUGCUGACGAGUGGCGAACGGGUGAGUAAUACAUCGGAACGUGCCCGAUCGGGGGGGAUAACGGAGCGAAUGCUUUGCUAAUACCGCAUACGAUCUCGGGAUGGAAGCAGGGGACCGCACGGUCUCGCGCAGACGGAGAGGGCGAUGGCAGAUUAGGUAGUUGGUGGGAUAAAAGCCUACCAAGCCGACGAUCUGUAGCUGGUCUGAGAGGACGACCAGCCACACUGGGACUGAGACACGGCCCAGACUCCUACGGGAGGCAGCAGUGGGGAAUUUUGGACAAUGGGCGAAAGCCUGAUCCAGCCACGCCGCGUGCAGGAUGAAGGCCUUCGGGUUGUAAACUGCGUUUGUACGGAACGAAAAGCCUCUUUCUAAUAAAGAGAGGUCAUGACGGUACCGUAAGCAUAAGCACCGGCUAACUACGUGCCAGCCGCCGCGGUAAGAC
rnacentral:rRNA from 1 species